GCUGGGCAUGGUAGCGCACGCCUGUAAUCCCAGUGACUCGGGAGGCUGAGGCAGGAUAGUGAGUUCAAAGCCAGCAUCAG
rnacentral:sRNA from 1 species